GCCAGGUAUGGUGGUGCGUGCCUGUAAUCCCAGCUACUUGGGAGGCUGAGGCAGGAGAAUCACUUGAACCUGGGAGGCACAGGUUGCAGUGAGCAGAGAUCGUGCCACUGCACUCCAGCCUGGGUGACAGAGUGAGACCCUGUCUCAG
ensembl:misc_RNA Metazoa_SRP Metazoan signal recognition particle RNA